rnacentral:rRNA from 1 species
GGCUUAGAGUUUGAUCAUGGCUCAGGAUAAACGCUGGCGGCGCACAUAAGACAUGCAAGUCGAACGGACUUAAGCCUUAGUUUACUAUGGCGGCGGUUAGUGGCGGACUGGUGAGUAACACGUAAGCAACCUGCCUAUCAGAGGGGAACAACAGUUAGAAGUGACUGCUAAUACCGCAUAUGCCUUAAUCUUCACAUGAAGAUAGAGGGAAAGGAGCAAUCCGCUGAUAGAUGGGCUUGCGUCUGAUUAGAUAGUUGGUGGGGUAACGGCCUACCAAGUCGACGAUCAGUAGCCGGACUGAGAGGUUGAACGGCCACAUUGGGACUGAGAUACGGCCCAGACUCCUACGGGAGACAGCAGUCGGGAAUAUUGCGCAAUGGAGGAAACUCUGACGCAGUGACGCCGCGUGCAGGAAGAAGGGUUUCGGAUUGUAAACUGCUUUAGACAGGGAAGAAAAAGGACAGUACCUGUAGAAUAAGCUCCGGCUAACUACGUGCCAGCAGCCGCGGUAAUACGUAGGGAGCAAGCGUUAUCCGGAUUUAUUGGGUGUAAAGGGUGCGUAGACGGGAAAUCAAGUUGGUUGUGAAAUCCCUCGGCUUAACUGAGAAACUGCAACCAAAACUAAUUUUCUUGAGUGCUGGAGAGGAAAGUGGAAUUCCUAGUGUAGCGGUGAAAUGCGUAGAUAUUAGGAGGAACACCAGUGGCGAAGGCGACUUUCUGGACAGUAACUGACGUUGAGGCACGAAAGUGUGGGGAGCAAACAGGAUUAGAUACCCUGGUAGUCCACACCGUANACGAUGGAUACUAGGCGUAGGGGAUGAAUAAUCUUCUGUGCCGUCGCAAACGCAGUAAGUAUCCCACCUGGGGAGUACGGCC